GACGAACGCUGGCGGCGUGCUUAACACAUGCAAGUCGAGCGGAAAGGCCCUGCUUUUGUGGGGUGCUCGAGUGGCGAACGGGUGAGUAACACGUGAGUAACCUGCCCUUGACUUUGGGAUAACUUCAGGAAACUGGGGCUAAUACCGGAUAGGAGCUCCUGCUGCAUGGUGGGGGUUGGAAAGUUUCGGCGGUUGGGGAUGGACUCGCGGCUUAUCAGCUUGUUGGUGGGGUAGUGGCUUACCAAGGCUUUGACGGGUAGCCGGCCUGAGAGGGUGACCGGCCACAUUGGGACUGAGAUACGGCCCAGACUCCUACGGGAGGCAGCAGUGGGGAAUAUUGCACAAUGGGCGGAAGCCUGAUGCAGCAACGCCGCGUGCGGGAUGACGGCCUUCGGGCUGUAAACCGCUUUCGCCUGUGUCGAAGCGUGAGUGACGGUAAUGGGUAAAGAAGCACCGGCUAACUACGUG
rnacentral:rRNA from 1 species